UACAGAGGGGGCCAGCGUUAUUCGGAAUUAUUGGGCGUAAAGGGCGCGUAGGCGGCUUUGCGUGUCUUUCGUGAAAUCCCUCGGCUCAACUGAGGACGUGCGGAAGAAACUGCAGGGCUGGAGUCCGGGAGAGGAGGGUGGAAUUCCCAGUGGAGCGGUGAAAUGCGUAGAUAUUGGGAGGAACACCGGUGGCGAAGGCGGCCCGCUGGACCGGUACUGACGCUGAUGCGCGAAAGCGUGGGGAGCAAACGGG
rnacentral:rRNA from 1 species